GAUGAACGCUAGCGGCAGGCUUAAUACAUGCAAGUCGUGGGGCAGCAUGGGUAGCAAUACCUGAUGGCGACCGGCAAACGGGUGCGGAACACGUACGCAACCUUCCCAAAACUGGUGAAUAGCCCUCCGAAAGGAGGAUUAAUACACCGUAACAUAAUGAAAUGGCAUCAUUUUAUUAUUAUAGCUCCGGCGGUUUUGGAUGGGCGUGCGCCUGAUUAGGUAGUUAGCGGGGUAACGGCCCACCAAGCCUGCGAUCAGUAACUGGUGUGAGAGCACGACCAGUCACACGGGCACUGAGACACGGGCCCGACUCCUACGGGAGGCAGCAGUAAGGAAUAUUGGUCAAUGGACGCAAGUCUGAACCAGCCAUGCCGCGUGAAGGAUGAAGGUCCUCUGGAUUGUAAACUUCUUUUAUAGGGGACGAAAAAGGGAAUUCUUUCUCACUUGACGGUACCUAGGAAUAAGCACCGGCUAACUCCGUGCCAG
rnacentral:rRNA from 1 species